rnacentral:rRNA from 1 species
GGACCCGCACAAGCGGUGGAGCAUGUGGUUUAAUUCGAAGCAACGCGAAGAACCUUACCUGGUCUUGACAUCCCCCUGAAUAACGUGUAAUGACGUUAGGCCUUCGGGACAGGGGAGACAGGUGGUGCAUGGUUGUCGUCAGCUCGUGUCGUGAGAUGUUGGGUUAAGUCCCGCAACGAGCGCAACCCUUAUCUUUAGUAGCCAGCAGUAAGAUGGGCACUCUAGAGAGACUGCCGGGGAUAACCCGGAGGAAGGUGGGGAUGACGUCAAAUCAUCAUGCCCCUUAUGAUCAGGGCUACACACGUGCUACAAUGGCGUAAACAAAGGGAAGCGAAGGAGUGAUCCGGAGCAAAUCCCAAAAAUAACGUCCCAGUUCGGAUUGUAGUCUGCAACUCGACUACAUGAAGCUGGAAUCGCUAGUAAUCGCGAAUCAGAACGUCGCGGUGAAUACGUUCCCGGGUCUU